AGAUUGAACGCUGGCGGCAGGCCUAACACAUGCAAGUCGAGCGGUAGAGAGGUGCUUGCACCUCUUGAGAGCGGCGGACGGGUGAGUAAUGCCUAGGAAUCUGCCUAGUGGUGGGGGAUAACGUUCGGAAACGGACGCUAAUACCGCAUACGUCCUACGGGAGAAAGCGGGGGACCUUCGGGCCUCGCGCCAUUAGAUGAGCCUAGGUCGGAUUAGCUAGUUGGUGAGGUAAUGGCUCACCAAGGCGACGAUCCGUAACUGGUCUGAGAGGAUGAUCAGUCACACUGGAACUGAGACACGGUCCAGACUCCUACGGGAGGCAGCAGUGGGGAAUAUUGGACAAUGGGCGAAAGCCUGAUCCAGCCAUGCCGCGUGUGUGAAGAAGGUCUUCGGAUUGUAAAGCACUUUAAGUUGGAGGAAGGUUGUAACUUAAUACGUUGCAACUUUGACGUACGACAGAAUAAGCACCGGCUAACUUCGUGCCAGCAGCCG
rnacentral:rRNA from 1 species